rnacentral:rRNA from 1 species
CAGUUCGGAUUGUAGUCUGCAACUCGACUACAUGAAGCUGGAAUCGCUAGUAAUCGCGAAUCAGAAUGUCGCGGUGAAUACGUUCCCGGGUCUUGUACACACCGCCCGUCACACCAUGGGAGUUGGGAAUGCCCGAAGCCGGUGACCUAACCGAAAGGGAGGAGCCGUCGAAGGCAGGCUUGAUAACUGGGGUGAAGUCGUAACAAGGUAGC